AGACUCUUUAAUUUGGUCAAAAAUCUACAAGUCAAGAUUGACAUCUCACAAUGUAUCAUGACUAUCCAAAAGAUAUAAAAUUUGAUGAAAAUACCAAAUCUACCCUUCAGUGGUAAAUUAUCGUGCAAUUCAAUCCUUCGAUUAUCCUUGCAUCCUGAAUAUAUUCAUGAGUAUGGAAUCAUGUCAAACACAAAUACAUAUUCAUAUUGAUUCUCAAUUAACCAUUGAUGACUCCAAUGA
rnacentral:lncRNA from 1 species